UGCUUUUGUUCUUAAACUGAUAGGUUUUACUUUUAUUGCAGCAAUAACAGUGCUUAGCCCAUUUGCAAAACUAAGCAGGGCCCGGUGUGGUUUCAAAUUGGAUGGGGGACCGCCUGUUGAAAUACCUACAUUGCUUAAAAACUACUCUUUAGCCGUUAUAGGUCCAGAGUUUUACAGUUCUGUCUGCAGAAGAUGACAAGAAGGAAAGAUCUUGUGUAUGCCAUCUGCACUGAAUCACUUUGUCUUUAUGCUCCCCUACCACCAUCGUUGGGAGCUGCUUGAACCCGUGAGAAGGUAAUGAGCCCCAGGGGAAAAGCGGACAGAACGGACAUCACUGGAAUGAGGAUGGUAACUCUGCACCAUUCGCCCUCCACGAAUAUCAUACAGCAUGCAGCUGGAAUCCUCCUGGCCUGUAGCUAGAAGACGACCACUAGGAUCUACAGCUACUGAUGCCACAGCACUGCCUGCAGGGAGAAAUCCCAUAAAUGAAAUCAGUACCAUUUCUCUAGAUAAGAACUCGCUAUUUUCCAAGCAGCAACUCUACUGGCCAACCAUGGCAAG